AGCGAACGCUGGCGGCAUGCCUAACACAUGCAAGUCGCACGGGGGGGCUUCGGCCUCCCAGUGGCGGACGGGUGAGGAACGCGUAGGGACCUGUCGAGGGGUGGGGGAUAAUCGCGGGAAACUGCGGCUAAUACCGCAUGACGCCGCGGCGUGACAGCCGGGGCCAAAGGCGAAAGCCGCCCGCCGAGGGGCCUGCGUCCGAUUAGCUGGUUGGCGGGGUAGCGGCCCACCAAGGCGUCGAUCGGUAGCUGGUCUGAGAGGGUGAUCAGCCACACCGGGACUGAGACACGGCCCGGACUCCUACGGGAGGCAGCAGUGGGGAAUAUUGGACAAUGGGCGCAAGCCUGAUCCAGCAAUGCCGCGUGGGUGAAGAAGGUCUUCGGAUUGUAAAGCCCUUUCGGCGGGGACGAUGGUGACGGUACCCGCAGAAGAAGCCCCGGCUAACUUCGUG
rnacentral:rRNA from 1 species